UGAAAAAAAUGCAUCGGCAGGGAAUCGAACCGGGCCGCCCGCGUGGCAGGCGAGCAUUCUAUCACUGAACCAGCGUUUC
rnacentral:tRNA from 1 species